CCUACGGGGGGCUGCAGUGGGGAAUAUUGGACAAUGGGGGCAACCCUGAUCCAGCCAUGCCGCGUGUGUGAAGAAGGCCUUCGGGUUGUAAAGCACUUUAAGUGGGGAGGAAGGCUCGCUGGUUAAUAGUCAGCGGGAGUGACGUUACCCACAGAAUAAGCACCGGCAAACUCCGUGCCAGCAGCCGCGGUAAUACGGAGGGUGCGAGCGUUAAUCGGAAUUACUGGGCGUGUUAAGCAGGUAGGCAGAUCCCUGGGCUCAACCUGGGAGAUGCAUGCGAUACUGGCAGACUUGAAUACGGUAGAGGGGGGUGGAAUUCCAGGUGUAGCGGUGAAAUGCGUAGAGAUCUGGAGGAACACCAGUGGCGAAGGCGGCCCCCUGGACCGAUAUUGACGCUGAGGUGCGAAAGCGUGGGGAGCAAACAGGAUUAGAUACCCCUGUAGUC
rnacentral:rRNA from 1 species